rnacentral:rRNA from 1 species
GACGAACGCUGGCGGCGUGCUUAACACAUGCAAGUCGAACGAUGAAGCCGGAGCUUGCUCUGGUGAAUUAGUGGCGAACGGGUGAGUAACACGUGAGUAACCUGCCCUUGACUCUGGGAUAACUGCGGGAAACUGUAGCUAAUACCGGAUACGACCCUCGGAGGCAUCUCCUGGGGGUGGAAAGAAUUUCGGUCAAGGAUGGACUCGCGGCCUAUCAGCUAGUUGGUGAGGUAAAGGCGCACCAAGGCGACGACGGGUAGCCGGCCUGAGAGGGGGACCGGCCACACUGGGACUGAGACACGGCCCAGACUCCUCCGGGAGGCAGCAGUGGGGAAUAUUGCACAAUGGGCGCAAGCCUGAUGCAGCAACGCCGCGUGAGGGAUGACGGCCUUCGGGUUGUAAACCUCUUUUAGCAGGGAAGAAGCGAAAGUGACGGUACCUGCAGAAAAAGCACCGGCUAACUACGUGCCAGCCGCCGCCGUAA